rnacentral:rRNA from 1 species
GACGAACGCUGGCGGCGUGCUUAACACAUGCAAGUCGAACGAAGUGGCGAACGGGUGAGUAACGCGUAAUCAACCUGCCCUUCAGAGGGGGACAACAGUUGGAACCGACUGCUAAUACCCCAUACUGAAGGAGGGGAUUGCGUCUGAUUAGCUAGCUGGGGGGGUAACGGCCCACCAAGGCGAUGAUAAGUAGCCGGGCUGAGAGGAGGAACGGGCACAGUGGGAAUGAGACACGGCCCAGACUCCUACGGGAGGCAGCAGGGGGGGAUCUUCCGCAAUGGACGAAAGUCUGACGGAGCAACGGCGCGGGAGUGAUGACGGCCUUCGGGUUGUAAAGCUAUGUUAAUCGGGACGCGGUACCGGAAUAGAAAGCCACGGCUAACUACGUGCCAGCCGCCGCGGUAAUUC